ACGAACGCUGGCGGCAGGCCUAACACAUGCCAGUCGAGCGAGAUCUUCGGGUCUAGCGGCGGACGGGUGAGUAACGCGUGGGUAUAUGCCCUUCUCUGCGGAAUAGCCUCGGGAAACUGAGCGUAAUACCGCAUACGCCCUUUGGGGGAAAGAUUUAUCGGAGAAGGAUUAGCCCGCGUUGGAUUAGGUAGUUGGUGGGGUAACGGCCUACCAAGCCGACGAUCCAUAGCUGGUUUGAGAGGAUGAUCAGCCACACUGGGACUGAGACACGGACCAGACUACUACGGGAGGCAGCAGUGGGGAAUAUUAGACAAUGGGGGCAAACCUGAUCUAGCCAUGCCGCGUGAGUGAUGAAGGCAUUAGGGUUGUAAAGCUCUUUCAGCUGGGAAGAUAAUGACGGUACCAGCAGAAGAAGCCCCGGCUAACUCCGUG
rnacentral:rRNA from 1 species